rnacentral:rRNA from 1 species
UACCGUAAACCGACACAGGUGGAUGAGGAGAGAAUCCUAAGGCCGGCGGGAGAAGCAUUGUUAAGGAACUCGGCAAAAUGACCCUGUAACUUCGGGAUAAAGGGUGCCACAGAGAUGUGGCCGCAGAGAAUAGGCUCAAGCAACUGUUUAGCAAAAACACAGGUCUAUGCGAAACCGAAAGGUGAGGUAUAUGGGCUGACGCCUGCCCGGUGCUGGAAGGUUACGAGGAGAGGUUAGAGCAAUCGAAGCUUUGAAUCUAAGCCCCAGUAAACGGCGGCCGUAACAAUAACGGUCCUAAGGUAGCGAAAUUCCUUGUCGGGUAAGUUCCGACCCGCACGAAAGGCGUAAUGAUUUGAGCGCUGUCUCGACAAUGCACCCGGUGAAAUUGAAAUACCAGUGAAGAUGCUGGUUACCUGCGCCAGGACGGAAAGACCCCAUGGAGCUUUACUCUAGCUUGAUACUGGGAUUCGGUACUGCAUGUACAGGAUAGGUGGGAGACGAAGAGGACAGGACGCCAGUCUUGUCGGAGUCGCUGUUGGGAUACCACCCUUGUGGUACUGGAUUUCUAACCAACCUCCGUGACCCGGAGGUGGGACAAUGUCAGGUGGGGAGUUUGACUGGGGCGGUCGCCUCCGAAAGGGUAUCGGAGGCGCUCAGAGGUUCCCUCAGAAUGGUUGGAAACCAUUCAAAGAGUGCAAAGGCAGAAGGGAGCUUGACUGCGAGACCGACGGGUCGAGCAGGUACGAAAGUAGGACUUAGUGAUCCGGUGGUAGAAAGUGGGAUUGCCAUCGCUCAACGGAUAAAAGCUACCCUGGGAUAACAGGCUUAUCACUCCCAAGAGUUCACAUCGACGGAGUGGUUUGGCACCUCGAUGUCGGCUCAUCGCAUCCUGGGGCUGAAGUAGGUCCCAAGGGUUGGGCUGUUCGCCCAUUAAAGCGGUACGCGAGCUGGGUUCAGAACGUCGUGAGACCGUUCGGUCCCUAUCCGGCGCGGGCGUAGGAUAUUUGAGAGGAGCUGCCCUUAGUACGAGAGGACCGGGGUGGACUGGCCUCUGGUGUAUCUGUUGAGCUAUCAAGCUCAUGGCGGAGUAGCCAAGCCGGGACGGGAUAAACGCUGAAGGCAUCUAAGCGUGAAGCCCCCCUCAAGAUGAGAUAUCCCAUACGCAAGUAGUAAGACCCCUUGAAGACGACGAGGUUGAUAGGGCAGAGGUGGAAGUGCAGUAAUGCAUGAAGCUGACUGUUACUAAUCGGUCGAGGGCUU